GAUGAGAACGCAGCAAAAUGCGAUAAGUAAUGUGAAUUGCAGAAUUCAGUGAAUCAUCGAAUCUUUGAACGCACAUUGCGCCCGCUGGUAUUCCGGCGGGCAUGCCUGUUCGAGCGUCAUUUCAACCCUCAAGCCCCCGGGUUUGGUGUUGGGGAUCGGCUCUGCCCUUCUGGGCGGUGCCGCCCCCGAAAUACAUUGGCGGUCUCGCUGCAGCCUCCAUUGCGUAGUAGCUAACACCUCGCAACUGGAACGCGGCGCGGCCAUGCCGUAAAACCCCAACUUCUGAAUGUUGACCUCGGAUCAGGUAGGAAUACCAGCUGAACUUAAGCAUAUCAAUAAGCGGAGGA
rnacentral:misc_RNA from 1 species